GUUCAAUUCUUAAAAUAUUUUUUCUCUCUAAUCAGGUUUUUCAAAUUUGCCUGCUCUUUAUUCUAAACCCUAUAUCUUUAUCUCUAUUUUCAUCUUUAUUUGUUUUAUUUGACCAUCUCUCCAGUUCUCUUAAUAGUUCCUAAAAAUCCUCUUUAUUGUAACAGUUUGUCCAUCUGUUGUUUGUUUUUGUGUAUUUCUUGUCUAGUCAUGACAAGGCCCAAAUUCAGGUCCUGCCCUUCUUGCCAGACUCCCAAUCAGGCAAGCAGGAAAUUGUAUUCUGUGUCAAGUAUUAAGUCAUGAUGGCAAUGGCAGAAACUGUAGCAGUACCUCUGGCCUUACCUUAUAUUGACGAUCGAUUGUAUACAGUUCAAGAGUAAUGUGUCUUCUAAAAUAAUCUUAAUGAAACAGGUUACGGCUCAUUUUCUUGCAUUGUUUUUCAUUAAAUGAAAUUUCUUUAACAGUACUGAUGUUUCUAAUACUUCAGUGGGUGUAACUAACUAAUGUGUGUAAUAACUAAUGCAGUGGAAUAACCGCUUUUGUUCAUUUCAGGUGCAGAAACUUGAGGCUGUCGGAUACAAGCCAAUUUUAUUUAUUGGGAAACAGGACAAAAGGGCUUCAAAUAAGUGGGUGGCAGAUAUUAUCACACAUCUGCACCCCACUCCUGUCACCAAAUUUUUUUUGGAGAAGAUGCGGACGGCUUAUGAGUAUCUUAACAAAAGCAACCUCCACAGCACAGCAGCCGGAGAGCGUCACCGCGGAGCAGCCGGAGAGCCUCACCAAGCAGUCUGAAACUGUAUUUGUUCUCAAUCUUGUUCCUGUGUCUUUCUCACUCUCUCCAACCUCUCUCUCCUCCUUCCUCUGCUACUUCUACAACUGUUCUUCCUUCACUUUCUUCCCCUCCUCCACCUCCACUGCGGCAGAGGAAAAGAAGGUUAAACACCUUUACCGCGUCACACUCUACCACCCCUGUCUCUCCUCCAUAUCCAUCUGCCUCUUCCAUUUCCAAGCCUUUGAGUCAGGAGGUGCCACUGGUUAAGAACAGAAGAAAAGGUUGUCGAAAAUGUAGUAGGCAGAAGGUUUUCCUUUUUGAUAAAAUAACUGGGGAACGAAUAAAUGAGGGGAAAGCUGAAUUGAAAGUUCACUGGUUGCCUUGCACUGAGUGUGGCAAAACCUGGGAUGACACGUGGGAGCCUGCGAGUGAAUUCCAACACAUUGUGCCAAAGCAUUGUCCCAACCAGCUUUCAGCAUGACAACAGUCACCAUAAACACCUGGACUCAUCAAGCACCCUUCAAUGCAGUUUAUUUUUGAGUGUUUUUGCUUGCUGUUCUUCAGUAAAGUUUUUGCACAGUACCCAGUCUCUUUUAGUGUUUAGUUUCUUACAGUUGUCAUCUUAAAAACUUUUUGCAUUUGUCUUGAACUGCUUAACAGUGUGCCUUGUGAGAUC
ensembl:lncRNA